AUUGAACGCUAGCGGGCUGCUUUACACAUGCAAGUCGAACGAAUGGCGGACGGGUGAGUAAUAUAUCGGAACGUGCCCAGUAGCGGGGGAUAACUAAUCGAAAGAGUGGCUAAUACCCCAUACUAUUGAAGCGGCCGCUAUCGGAUUAGCUAGUUGGUGGGGUAAAGGCCCACCAAGGCAACGAUCCGUAGCUGGUUUGAGAGGACGAACAGCCACACUGGGCCUGAGACACGGCCCAGACUCCUACGUGAGGCAGCAGUUGGGAAUUUUGGACAAUGGGGGAAACCCUGAUCCAGCCAUCCCGCGUGUAUGAGAAGGCCUUCGGGUUGUAAAGUACUUUUGGCAGAGAAGCGGUAUCUGCAGAAUAAGCACCGGCUAACUACGUGCCAGCCGCCGCGGUAAUUC
rnacentral:rRNA from 1 species